rnacentral:rRNA from 1 species
UAAUGAUUUUUGUGAUUAGUUUUUACAUGAAAUUCAAUUGUGAAUAUUAAUGCUAAUGACGGUAUUUUUUAUAUUCUGAGGAACUUGUUUUUUUAAGUUGAUAAUACACAAAUAAUCUUUCUUAUAUUAAAUAAUAGUCAAAAGAAAUAUUUGAUUAUUAAAAAAUUUAUGUAUUGCUGUUUAAUUUAUUUUUUAAUAAGAAAAAGAAGAAGAUUAGUAGAAUUAAAUUUGUUUUAAAUAAUUCAAGUCAAAAUGUAGUUUUAUAUAUAAGAUAAAAAUAGGUUACUUUUACAUAGUAUUUUGAAAUUAAAGUGAAACUGAUAAUUUUUAUGAAAAUUUGAAAAUUUGAUGUUGGAUUAGAUUGUAAAUAUUAAAUUAAUAUGUAGUUUUGAUAUUUUUAAAAAUAUGU